rnacentral:lncRNA from 1 species
UGUCAGAGUGAACGGUUCUGUGUGUGUUGUUUGAAGGUCAGUGAUGGCAGCUUAUGUGCAGUCACUGGGAUGCCGGACGAUGAGCUGGCGGUCAGUUGCAGCGACUGCUCUGUCUGUAUCUGGAAGCUGGAGCGGGACUCCAAGAAGUGCAUUAUGGGGCUCGAUAAGGUGUCUUCAUACAAAGUGGAGUCUCCUUUGAGCUUUUUGUUUUACUGUGGCAGUCUGUUUGGAGUGUAUAUGGGUGGAACAGUCACUGAUGUGCUCUCUAGUAAAGCAGCUUAUAACUGGUUAAGAAGGGUAUGUCCUCUCGGCGUGAUGGCGAAUGACAGCAAGAGCUUUUGGCUGUUGGGCCAGAAACAGGGCGUUCUGUACGUUGGCCUCGUUUUGUCUCUGAAUCCGAGUGUGUCAGACUUCUUCUUAGCCUUUUGUGAUGAUGCGAUAAGUAAAAAGCCAAAGGACUUAGAGAUAGAGGAGGAAAUAGAUGAGCAGCAGGAGGAGGAGCAGCAGCAGGAGAAGCUGAGUGAGGAACAGCGGAGAGAGAGGCAAACUGCAAUCCAGAGGGCGGCACAGGUCAG